UCGGGAUGACAGGAUUCGAACCUGCGGCCCCUUCGUCCCGAACGAAGUGCGCUACCAAGCUGCGCUACAUCCCG
rnacentral:tRNA from 1 species